rnacentral:rRNA from 1 species
GACGAACGCUGGCGGCGUGCUUAACACAUGCAAGUCGAACGGAAAGGCCCUGCUUGUGGGGGGUUCUCGAGUGGCGAACGGGUGAGUAACGCGUGAGUAACCUGCCCUUGACUUUGGUAUAACUUCAGGAAACGGGGGCUAAUACCGGAUAGGCGCUCCUUCUGCAUGGUGGGGGUUGGAAAUUUUCGGCGGGUGGGGAUGGACUGGCGGCUUAUCAGCUGGUUGGUGGGGUAGUGGCUUACCAAGGCUUUGACGGGUGGCCGGCCUGAGAGGGUGACCGGCCAAAUGGGGACUGGGAUCCGGCCCGGACCCCACGGGGAGGAAGAAGUGGGGAAAAUUGCACAAUGGGGGGAGGCUGGUUGAAGCAACGCCGCGUGGGGGAUGCCGGCUUUCGGUUUGUAAACCGUUUCCGCCUGUGACGAAGCGUGAGUGACGGUAAUGGGUAAAGAAGCACCGGCUAACUACGUG